GUCGAACGGUAACAGGAAGCAGCUUGCUGCUUUGCUGACGAGUGGCGGACGGGUGAGUAAUGUCUGGGAAACUGCCUGAUGGAGGGGGAUAACUACUGGAAACGGUAGCUAAUACCGCAUAACGUCGCAAGACCAAAGAGGGGGACCUUCGGGCCUCUUGCCAUCGGAUGUGCCCAGAUGGGAUUAGCUAGUAGGUGGGGUAACGGCUCACCUAGGCGACGAUCCCUAGCUGGUCUGAGAGGAUGACCAGCCACACUGGAACUGAGACACGGUCCAGACUCCUACGGGAGGCAGCAGUGGGGAAUAUUGCACAAUGGGCGCAAGCCUGAUGCAGCCAUGCCGCGUGUAUGAAGAAGGCCUUCGGGUUGUAAAGUACUUUCAGCGGGGAGGAAGGUGUUGAGGUUAAUAACCUCAGCAAUUGACGUUACCCGCAGAAGAAGCACCGGCUAACUCCGUGCCAGCAGCCGCGGUAAUACGGAGGGUGCAAGCGUUAAUCGGAAUUACUGGGCGUAAAGCGCACGCAGGCGGUCUGUCAAGUCGGAUGUGAAAUCCCCGGGCUCAACCUGGGAACUGCAUUCGAAACUGGCAGGCUAGAGUCUUGUAGAGGGGGGUAGAAUUCCAGGUGUAGCGGUGAAAUGCGUAGAGAUCUGGAGGAAUACCGGUGGCGAA
rnacentral:rRNA from 1 species